CUACGGGGGGCAGCAGUGAGGAAUAUUGCGCAAUGGGCGAAAGCCUGACGCAGCGACGCCGCGUGAAGGAUGACGGCCUUCGGGUUGUAAACUUCUGUUAAGUGGGAAAAAAGCUCUGUUUUUAAUAGAAACGGAGGAUGAUGGUACCACUAGAGAAAGCACCGGCUAACUUCGUGCCAGCAGCCGCGGUAAUACGAAGGGUGCAAGCGUUAUUCGGAAUUAUUGGGUGUAAAGGGUGUGUAGGCGGCUUAUCAAGUCUGUUGUUAAAUCUUUCAGCUUAACUGAAGGCUUGCAGUGGAAACUGAUUUGCUUGAGGACGGAAGAGAGAGGUAGAAUUCUCGGAGUAGCGGUAAAAUGCGUGGAUCUCGAGAGGAAUACCGAUGGCGAAGGCAGCCUCUUGGUCCGUUUCUGACGCUGAAACACGAAAGCGUGGGGAGCAAACAGGAUUAGAUACCCGCGUAGUC
rnacentral:rRNA from 1 species